rnacentral:lncRNA from 1 species
AUUUGCCAGGAGACAGUACCACAGCUUUUGAAAUAUUUUCCCUGGGGAACCUUUUCCCAGGCCUAGAAUUCUGGUCUGCUGGAUUCCUAUGUCAAAGGAAAUAACAGGUCUACUCUCUGCUCACAGGGGAUGCACCCGACAGAAAGUAAGGAAAUGCCAGUGCCAUUUUCAAGAAACAGUGAAUGCACAGUAAAUUUGUUUUUCUUCCCCUUCUCUCUUUAGCCACACUUUGGAGUGGGCAGAGACACUUCCUUUUCCUGAUUUGGGGCUUUGCUGUGGGAUUGCUGUGACCGGUGCACUGUGGAUGAAAGGAACAGUGACCAGUUUUGAGCAGAAGUUUUAAGAAGCACGUAAGUUUGGUUUAUCCCUGAGCUUCUGUCCUGUGGUACAAGAAGCCCCCAAUGACAGCUUGGGACAUGGAGCCCCUUCAGCCUGGGAUGCGGAGUGAGAAGGUUUAGGAACCCAGCAGAAGCAAGCUGGGCUCAGCAGAGCCACCACCCUCCCGGAGUCCUGGAAGCAAGAGAUGAACAUUGUGGUAUGUCACUGAGAUUUUGGCCUGUCCUUACAGCUCCAAUAUUUUCCUUCCCCCUUUCCAUACAUUCUUUAAAAUGACUUUCUUCCUUCUUUCCCUCCCUCCAUUUGUCCUGACAAGGCCAUUAGCAGGGCAGAGGGAGGCAAAUCAAGCAAGGGAUUAGAUUCUCCGUGGAAGGUGGGAAUGGGGCUGUGCACCCAGGAGCUGGACUGUGACCUGGAGGACUGAGAGCCAUGGUGAAGACAAUGGGAGUCAGGCCUCUGACUACGGAAGGGGGAAAUGGACACAGCUAGAACUGAGAUUGCCAAAUAAAA